rnacentral:rRNA from 1 species
GAUGAACGCUGACAGAAUGCUUAACACAAGCAAGUCUACUUGAAUUUGGGUUGUUUACCUUAGAUUUGGGUGGCGGACGGGUGAGUAACGCGUAAAGAACUUGCCUCACAGCUAGGGACAACAUUUGGAAACGAAUGCUAAUACCUGAUAUUAUGAUUAUAAGGCAUCUUAGAAUUAUGAAAGCUAUAUGCGCUGUGAGAGAGCUUUGCGUCCCAUUAGCUAGUUGGAGAGGUAACGGCUCACCAAGGCGAUGAUGGUUAGCCGGCCUGAGAGGGUGAACGGCCACAAGGGGACGGAGACAGGGCCCUUCCUCCUACGGGAGGCAGGAGUGGGGAAUAUAGGACAAUGGACCAAGAGUCUGAUCAAGCAAUUCUGUGUGGAGGAUGACGUUUUUCGGAAUGUAAAGUGCUUUCAGUUGGGAAGAAAAAAAUGACGGUACCAACAGAAGAAGUGACGGCUAAAUCCGUG